rnacentral:rRNA from 1 species
AUUGAACACUGGCGGCAGGCCUAACACAUGCAAGUCGAGCGGGGUUUUCGGACCUAGCGGCGGACGGGUGAGUAAUGCGUAGGAAGCUACCCGAUAGAGGGGGAUACCAGUUGGAAACGACUGUUAAUACCGCAUAAUGUCUACGGACCAAAGUGUGGGACCUUUGGGCCACAUGCUAUCGGAUGCGCCUACAUGGGAUUAGCUAGUUGGUGGGGUAAUGGCUCACCAAGGCGACGAUCCCUAGCUGGUUUGAGAGGAUGAUCAGCCACACUGGAACUGAGACACGGUCCAGACUCCUACGGGAGGCAGCAGUGGGGAAUAUUGGACAAUGGGCGCAAGCCUGAUCCAGCCAUGCCGCGUGUGUGAAGAAGGCCAUCGGGUUGUAAAGCACUUUCAGUAGGGAGGAAGGGUGUUGUGUUAAUAGCACAGCAUUUUGACGUUACCUACAGAAGAAGCACCGGCUAACUCUGUGCCAGCCGCCGCGGUAAGAC